UACGGAGGGUGCAAGCGUUGUUCGGAAUUAUUGGGCGUAAAGAGCGUGUAGGCGGGUUGGCAAGUCAGAUGUGAAAGCCCUGGGCUCAACUCAGGAAGUGCAUUUGAAACUGCCAUCCUUGAGUAUGGGAGAGGAGAGUGGAAUUCCCAGUGUAGAGGUGAAAUUCGUAGAUAUUGGGAGGAACAUCCGUGGCGAAGGCGACUCUCUGGACCAAUACUGACGCUGAGACGCGAAAGCGUGGGGAGCAAACAGG
rnacentral:rRNA from 1 species